rnacentral:rRNA from 1 species
AUUGAACGCUGGCGGCAGGCCUAACACAUGCAAGUCGAACGCGUGGCGGACGGGUGAGUAAUGUCUGGGAAACUGCCUGAUGGAGGGGGAUAACUACUGGAAACGGUAGCUAAUACGGCAUACUAUCAGAUGAGCCUAUGUCGGAUUAGCUAGUUGGUGGGGUAAAGGCGUACCAAGGCGACGAGCCGUAACGGGUCUGAGAGGAUGAUCAGUAACACUGGAACUGAGACACGGUCCAGACUCCUACGGGAGGCAGCAGUGGGGAAUAUUGGACAAUGGGCGAAAGCCUGAUCCAGCAAGGCCGCGUGUGUGAAGAAGGUCUUCGGAUUGUAAAGCACUGUAAGUUGGGAGGCGUUACCAACAGAGUAAGCACCGGCUAACUUCGUGCCAGCAGCCGCGGUAAUUC